UACGUAGGGUGCGAGCGUUGUCCGGAAUUACUGGGCGUAAAGGGCGCGUAGGCGGCCUGUUAAGUCGAACGUGAAAUCCCCAGGCUCAACCUGGGAACUGCGUCCGAUACUGGAUGGCUUGAAUCCGGGAGAGGGAUGCAGAAUUCCAGGUGUAGCGGUGAAAUGCGUAGAUAUCUGGAGGAAUACCGGUGGCGAAGGCGGCAUCCUGGACCGGCAUUGACGCUGAGGAGCGAAAGCCAGGGGAGCAAACGGG
rnacentral:rRNA from 1 species